rnacentral:rRNA from 1 species
GGGGGCCCGCACAAGCGGCGGAGCAUGCGGAUUAAUUCGAUGCAACGCGAAGAACCUUACCAAGGCUUGACAUAUACCGGAAACGGCCAGAGAUGGUCGCCCCGCAAGGUCGGUAUACAGGUGGUGCAUGGUUGUCGUCAGCUCGUGUCGUGAGAUGUUGGGUUAAGUCCCGCAACGAGCGCAACCCUCGUUCUAUGUUGCCAGCACGUAAUGGUGGGAACUCAUGGGAUACUGCCGGGGUCAACUCGGAGGAAGGUGGGGACGACGUCAAAUCAUCAUGCCCCUUAUGUCUUGGGCUUCACGCAUGCUACAAUGGCCAGUACAAAGGGCUGCAAUACCGUAAGGUGGAGCGAAUCCCAAAAAGCUGGUCCCAGUUCGGAUUGAGGUCUGCAACUCGACCUCAUGAAGUCGGAGUCGCUAGUAAUCGCAGAUCAGCAACGCUGCGGUGAAUACGUUCCCGGGCCUUGUACACACCGCCCGUCAAGUCAUGAAAGUCGGUAACACCCGACGCCGGUGGCCUAACCCUUUAUUGGGAGGGAGCCGUCUAAGGUGGGAUUGGUAAUUAGGACUAAGUCGUAACAAGGUAACCGUAAGGGC